GCUGCGGGGCGCGAGCAGUGGGGUGCUGGCUCUGGCCCCCACGAAGGGCGCCUUCUGCUUCUAAGCGGGGCACUCCCUGCUGCCCCUGCCCGGAAGCUUUUUCUGCUAAAACUUGACGAAUUAGGGAGCAGGGGCUACUCCAUAGAAGUUUUUCGAGCAGUGGAGAUGGGCUGCAAAGUUGUAUGCACGCCCAGUUCCCGAAGGUUGGAGCGGGGGGGUAAAUGGGGCGGGUUUCGAGAUACUGCCUUCCACCCCAGUAUGCGAAAAAGACCCUUGUUGGAGUCCGGGGACGCUGGGGCUGGGCAGCUAGUCUGUCCUGAAGAGCCGUGAUGGGGAGGCUGGAGAACAGAAUCCGGAGGCUUCGGGAACCCGGCAACCCCAGCUAUGCUCUCUGCCUCCCAAUGGCCCUGGCGCUGACUCCUCACUCCGUGCUCUGUCGGCAUCGUGUCCAUCGGGUGCAGAGAACUGUGUGCUCUGCUCUCUUCCUUUCCCAGGAAUAGGGUCCCAUAACCUUUACACCUCCUGGCAGCCCAGCUGGCACGCUUUUCAUCCUGAGCCUUGUCUCAUACCGGGUAUCGCAAGGAGCCGGAAAAACUGUGCCUUAUUGAUACCGACCGAGCUCAGAGAACUCAACUCCAUUGCGCUGGGGGCUAAGGACACUCAUUGGCUACUCAAACCUUAGUGUUCCAUCCCUUAUUCGCCCACUCGUUCUGGACUUGAGCGAUAGGAAGACCUAGGACUACCUAUCUAUAGCGCCGCCUACUAAACCUGACCUGCUGCCUGCCACCAGCCAGAUCAAUUCAACACAGAUGUGGCCCCUUUUCCUCCCCAUCAGAGCUCGGCAUAUGUGUGUUGGGGACUCACUAAAGCCCGGUUUCCCUCUGUGGCUCUA